CAGCAGCCGCGGUAAUACGAAGGUCCCGAGCGUUGUUCGGAAUCACUGGGCGUAAAGGGAGCGUAGGCGGCGUGGUAAGUCAGAUGUGAAAUCCCGGGGCUCAACCCCGGAACUGCAUCCGAUACUGCCAUGCUAGAGGAUAGGAGAGGUAGCUGGAAUUCUUGGUGUAGCAGUGAAAUGCGUGGAGAUCAAGAGGAACACUCGUGGCGAAAGCGAGCUACUGGACAAUAACUGACGCUGAGGCUCGAAGGCCAGGGUAGCGAAAGGGAUUAGAUACCCGAGUAGUCCCUGUCUCUUAUAC
rnacentral:rRNA from 1 species